rnacentral:piRNA from 1 species
UGAUAUUUAUUGCACACAAGACAAGGGGGCA